rnacentral:misc_RNA from 1 species
UUGAAACUGUAGCUUCAAUAAUAUGAUUCCACUUUCCUCGUAUCAGCUAUAAGGGACUUGCCAGCAAAGAAAAAAGGGUCAGAGGUCCACCAGGGAGGUCCCUGGUGAGGACCCUCCGACACUCAAGUUAGAGGGGCUAGUAGUCUAGUAGAGAUACAGUAGAGAGGGAAGAAAGAAGAGGACUAAAAGAAAAAAAUGGAACUCCUUUCUAUCCUUGCCUGACCCUAUUUAUGGGGAAAAGUGAUGGGAGCAUAUUCCUUGGUAUAUUCUAGGGAAUAUUUCUUGACGGGUAUAUUCCUAAAUAAAAAGGGUAUAUAUAUUACAUGUGAUUAUUUUAUGGUGUAUCAACUUUUGCUCUUAGUUUGUGUAGCGUAUACAUGAAAAUAUUAAGCUAUCUGAAACAGUAUACUCGAUGAGAAAAAAAAACAUUCCUGUUCUUUUUCAUUUUUUUUCCUUUACAUCAUUUUUAGGCUGACUAUUUUUUGGGUUAUGCAG